UCCAACCUCCCACCCGUGUUUAUUGUACCUUGUUGCUUCGGUGCGCCCGCCUCACGGCCGCCGGGGGGCUUCUGCCCCCGGGUCCGCGCGCACCGGAGACACUAUUGAACUCUGUCUGAAGAUUGCAGUCUGAGCAUAAACUAAAUAAGUUAAAACUUUCAACAACGGAUCUCUUGGUUCCGGCAUCGAUGAAGAACGCAGCGAAAUGCGAUAACUAAUGUGAAUUGCAGAAUUCAGUGAAUCAUCGAGUCUUUGAACGCACAUUGCGCCCCCUGGUAUUCCGGGGGGCAUGCCUGUCCGAGCGUCAUUGCUGCCCUCAAGCACGGCUUGUGUGUUGGGCUCCGUCCCCCCGGGGACGGGUCCGAAAGGCAGCGGCGGCACCGAGUCCGGUCCUCGAGCGUAUGGGGCUUUGUCACCCGCUCUGUAGGCCCGGCCGGCGCCAGCCGACAACCAAUCAUCCUUUUUUCAGGUUGACCUCGGAUCAGGUAGGGAUACCCGCUGAACUUAAGCAUAUCAAUAAGCGGAGGAAAAGAAACCAACAGGGAUUACCUCAGUAACGGCGAGGUGAAGCGGGUAAGAGCUCAAAUUUGAAAGCUGGCUUCCUUCGGGGUCCGCAUUGUAUU
rnacentral:rRNA from 1 species